rnacentral:rRNA from 1 species
UACGUAGGGGGCAAGCGUUGUCCGGAUUUAUUGGGCGUAAAGAGCGUGUAGGCGGCCAUGUAGGUCCGUUGUGAAACUCGAGGCUCAACCUCGAGACGCCGAUGGAAACCUGUGGCUAGAGUCCGGAAGAGGAGAGUGGAAUUCCUGGUGUAGCGGUGAAAUGCGCAGAUAUCAGGAAGAACACCCGUGGCUAAGGCGGCUCUCUAGUACGGUACUGACGCUGAGACGCGAAAGCGUGGGGAGCGAACAGG